GACCCCGGGCGGUGGGGGCGUGCGCUCGACUGCCUGACAAACACCCCGACGCCGACGCCGCUCCGGCGCAAUUUUCCGCGGCUUUUCCGGCCGUGCGGACACGGGCUGUGUGCUCAGCGGCGCCGGGGCCGGGCGCGAGCCGGUCGGGCGCCGACAGGCAACGGUGAAUACGCCUCUCUCUGCCGGGGUCCUUGCCGCGGUCGCGUUCUGGAGCUUCUGGCACUCGCGACGACCCGUACCUUGCCGCAGUCCUCCUCGCUCGGUUCUUUCCCCGCCGGCCCGGGGAAAUGGCGGGAACCCCGAUGGCACGGGGACCGAACGGCCGCUCCCCGCCGCUGGCACCGAAGCAGCUCGAGGAGGCGGCUGCUCUGUGUGCCGGAACGAGGCAAUCCUCCCCUGGCAGCUGCUGAGAGCACUGAAAACCUGUGUGCUUCGUGGUGUCUGUUGGCCAGCUGGAAACGAUUCCCUUGUGUUUGGUGCAUUAACUCCCAGCGACCUGUGUGCGGUGGCAGGUGAGCACACUGCCUGAGCCUUGUAGCUUUUCUGGCUCACACACGACUUCCUUUCCUUUUUUAUAUGGAAAAGAGGGAAGAGAGGGCAGUGUGGUAUUAGCAUUUCUAGCAGAUUUUUAACUGCCCCCGAUGCUCGUUCGUCUUUGCAGUGUGGGUUUUCAUGCUGACAAAUCCUCUGCUUUGCCUUCUGCUCACAGUCAGCUGGGCCCUUUAUUGAACAGAUUUAUCUGCUACAAGGCUACGCAGAAGGAUGGAAA
rnacentral:lncRNA from 1 species